rnacentral:rRNA from 1 species
UAAUACCAGCUCUCCGAGUGGUAGGGAUGAUUAUUGGGCUUAAAGCGUCCGUAGCCGGCUUAGCAAGUCUCCUGUUAAAUUCAGCGACCUAAUCGUUGAGCCGCGGGAGAUACUACUAGGCUAGGAGGCGGGAGAGGCCGACGGUACUUCCGGGGUAGGGGUGAAAUCCUAUAAUCCCGGGCGGACCACCAGUGGCGAAGGCUGUCGGCUAGAACGCGCUCGACGGUGAGGGACGAAAGCUGGGGGAGCGAACCGGAUUAGAUACCCGGGUAGUCCCAGCCGUAAACGAUGCGGGCUAGGUGUUGGGGUGGCUACGUGCCACUUCAGUGCCGCAGGGAAGCCAUUAAGCCCGCCGCCUGGGGAGUACGGCCGCAAGGCUG